AAAACAAGGCUCAUGUGUAUGUCUCCUUAGCUCCAUGAUUGGAAAUGGUAGCGUUAGGGAUUCAGACGGCUUGGUUCUUACCGUUUGGGGUCCUGAUGAUGUCGAUUCAAAAGGGACCUGGAGGCAACAGGAUCGGAAGAGACCUUUUAGGAAGGUAUUUCAACAUUCAAUCGACAGGUACCAGCAAGAAAGGAUUAUCAAGGGUUAGACCCUCUGCCCAUUUUGGACUACGCAAGACAUCCAUCCCCCUCGGCUUCACCAGAGAGCAACGAGAGCAAGAGCUCCCAAAGGGUUCAGUCAUGUCCUCGUCAGUACGUCAUUGACAGCUCAAACCCUCUGUCGGCUCCCACGGAAAUCCCAGUGUGUUACUCCGCGGUUGUAAAACACACUCCAGUGCAAUAUAGGGGUUUUGUCGACACCCGUAGCCGCCUGAGACUACCUCUAACGAAAGCAGCCCAAAUCCAAAAAAUAGCUCCAGGAAUAUAGGAUUAUGUGAGUGCCAUCUCCAGUCGGAGGCUUGAUAGUACGCAGGUGGCUUGGUGUCCUAAGCAGCAUGGAACAGCCGUGAGCGGGCACCUAUCUCUCAACAAUACUAUCUCAUGGCCUUCAUGUCUCCUCCAUUCCAGAGCUUUUUCUUAGUUAUUUCUCUGCCGCGAUUCAGCCAGCUAGCUUACCUGGCUACCUACCUAUUGACGUCCAUCUCGCCCUCGUAAGAUCAUCCUCCCCGUUUGAGUGACGUUCACGUGUGCACACAAGACAUGAACACAACCUCUCAAUUUGUUUCCCCCAUACCUCCCUCCAUCUGAGCAUUACAUUCCGCUUCCCAAUAGCGAACACAUCAAGAUCACACAGACCUAGAGACAGCUAAGAUGGUAGGUAAAGGAAGCCCCAAUCCUCCAACUCAUCUAAAUCAAGUCACACGUAUAAUUAGCCGGAUGCAUGUCGACUUAUUGUCUAAACGUACGAGAGACACCAACCAGUCUUCCAAAACAAAGCCGACUGACAUGUGGCGCCGACAGUGGAAGUUAGCCAAGUAG